GUCAGGGUGGCCGAGUGGUCCAAGGCGCCAGAUCUAAGGCACCUGGAGACAUGGGUUCGAACCCCACUCCUGACA